rnacentral:rRNA from 1 species
AGAGCGCAAGGGGAAUGCCUUGGCACUGGGAGCCGAAGAAGGACGCAGCAAACUGCGAAAAGCCACGAGGAGCCGUAAGCAGGCAAAGAUACGUGGGUAUCCGAAUGGAGCAAUCCGGCUGGAGUCAUGUCCAGUCAUCAUGCACUGAAAACAUAGGUGUAUGAGGGGAACCGCCUGAACUGAAACAUCUAAGUAGGGCGAGGAAAAGAAAUCAAUAGAGAUUUUGUGAGUAGUGGCGAGCGAAAGCGAAAGAGGCCAAACCAAAAGUAGAAAUAUUUUUGGGGUAAGGGCAACAAAGAAAGUGGAGAAGAAGCUUAGCGGAAUGGCAUGGGAAGGCCAACGAGACAGUGUGAGAGUCACGUACGCGAAAAGUGGAAGCGAAGCGAAGUUGACCCAGAGUACCGCCGGACACGAGGAACCCGGUGGGAAAGAGGGGGGACCAUCCUCCAAGCCUAAAUACUACCCAGUGACCGAUAGAGAAGAGUACUGUGAAGGAAAGGUGAAAAGGACCCCGGGAGGGGAGUGAAAAAGAACCUGAAACCUUGUGCUUACAAGCACCGAGAGCCCGUCAAAGGGUGAUCGGGUACCUAUUGUAGAAUGGUCCGGCGAGUGAAUGUAACUGGCGAGGUUAAAGACUAAGAGGUCUGGAGCCGAAGCGAGAGCGAGUCUGAAUAGGGCGAAGAAGUCAGUUGUAUUCGACCCGAAACCGGGUGACCUACCCAUGUCCAGGUUGAAGUUGAGGUAAAACUCAAUGGAGGACCGAACCGACUCCCGUUGAAAUGGUAGCGGAUGAGGUGUGGGUAGCGGAGAAAUUCCAAUCGAACCCGGAGAUAGCUGGUUCUCUCCGAAAUAGCUUUAGGGCUAGCCUCGGAAAAGAUUGCUGGAGGUAAAGCACUGAAUGGGCUAGGGGCCGAGAGGUUACUGAACCCUAUCAAACUAAGAAUGCCAGACAAUUGAUUUCCGGGAGUCAGACGGUGGGAGAUAAGUUUCAUCGUCGAAAGGGAAAGAGCCCAGAUCCACAGCUAAGGUCCCAAAGUAGGUUUAAGUGGGAAAGGAUGUGGGACUGCAAAGACAACCAGGAUGUUGGCUUAGAAGCAGCCAUACAUUAAAAGAGUGCGUAAUAGCUCACUGGUCGAGUGGUCCUGCGCCGAAAAUUUAACGGGGCUAAAAUCUACACCGAAGCUUGGGCUUUUAGAGGUUAGGAAUGAGUUGCCAAGGGGAAAGAGAGAAAAAAGAAGAAAGAUGGCAAUUGAUUUCUAACUUCUAGAGGGGUAGGAGAGCGUUCUGUUAGGGGAGAAGUCUGAGCGAAAGCGCAGGUGGACGUAACAGAAGAGAGAAUGCCGGAAUGAGUAGCGAGAAAUAUGUGAGAAUCAUAUUGGCCGAAAAUCUAAGGAUUUUGGAGGAAGGUUCGUCCGCUCCAAGUAAGUCGGGAGCUAAGGCGAGGCCGAAAGGCGUAGUCGAUGCACAUACGGUAGAAAUUCCGUAACCACCGAAAUAUUUAAGCAAGAUGACACUUUGAAAGGGCAUGACCCAGGCGCUGGUAGACCUGGGCGAAAGGGACCGAAAGAAGAAGUAGGGAAGCAUGCGUGGACGAAGGCGAGAAAAGUCUUGAGGGAUAUAUGAGGUGCCCGUACCGCAAACCGACACAGGUAGAUAGGAAGAAGAUUCUAAGGCCAACGGGAGAAGGGUUGUUAAGGAACUCGGCAAGUUGACCCCGUAACUUAGGGAUAAGGGGUGCUCAAGUGAUUGAGCCGCAGAGAAUAGGCCCAGGCGACUGUUUAGCAAAAACACAGGUCUCUGCUAAAUCGAAAGAUGACGUAUAGGGGCUGACACCUGCCCGGUGCCGGAAGGUUAAGAGGAGAUGUGAGAGCAUUGAAUUGAAGCCCCGGUAAACGGCGGCCGUAACUAUAACGGUCCUAAGGUAGCGAAAUUCCUUGUCGGGUAAGUUCCGACCCGCACGAAUGGUGUAACGACUUGUGAGCUGUCUCAACAGGGGGCCCGGUGAAAUUGAAGUAUGGGUGAAGAUGCCCAUUACCCGCGACUGGACGGAAAGACCCCGUAGAGCUUUACUGCAGCCUGAUAUUGAGUUUCGGUAACUGAUGCACAGGAUAGGUGGGAGUCUGAGAGACAUGGGUUUCGGCUCAUGAGGAGACGGUGUUGGGAUACCACUCUUCGGUUACUGAAAUUCUAACAUAGCUCUGUGAAACCAGAGGAUGGACAGUGUCAGGUGGACAGUUUGACUGGGGCGGUCGCCUCCGAAAGAGUAACGGAGGCGCCCAAAGGUACCCUCAGAAUGGAUGGAAACCAUUCGAAGAGCGCAAAGGCAGAAGGGUGCCUGACUGCGAGAUUGACAAAUCGAGCAGAGACGAAAGUCGGGCUUAGUGAUCCGGCGGUAUUGAGUGGAAAAGCCGUCGCUUAACGGAUAAAAGCUACCUCGGGGAUAACAGGCUGAUCUCCCCCAAGAGUCCACAUCGACGGGGAGGUUUGGCA